rnacentral:misc_RNA from 1 species
GAUGAAGAACGUAGCAAAAUGCGAUACUUGGUGUGAAUUGCAGAAUCCCGUGAACCAUCGAGUUUUUGAACGCAAGUUGCGCCCGAAGCCUUUUGGCCGAGGGCACGUCUGCCUGGGCGUCACGCAUCGCGUCGCCCCCCAUAAUUCUCCGUAAAGGGAACAUGUGUUUUGGGGGCGGAUAUUGGUCUCCCGUGCUCAUGGCGUGGUUGGCCGAAAUAGGAGUCCUUUCGAUGGACGCACGAACUAGUGGUGGUCGUAAAAACCCUCGUCUUUUGUUUCGUGCUGUUGCUCGCAAGGUAAACUCUUUAAAAACCCCAAUGUGUCGUCUCUUGACGACGCUUCGACCGCGACCCCAGGUCAGGCGGGACUACCCGCUGAGUUUAAGCAUAUCAAUAAGCGGAGGA